rnacentral:lncRNA from 1 species
AUCUGGAACUAAUAAUAUCAUCAUUAAUUUAGAAGUACAUAAAUCCGGUGAACACAAAUUCUAGAAAACAUACGGGAUGAGUGCCUUGACAUCUUUUGGGAAGUCUUCAAACUUCGAGAGGUACCAUUUUCUUGUAGCGUAACUUCUCCCCAUCAAGCAAACAGCUGAACCCACGGUGAAAGAUAAUGCAUAUAGAGUUUGCGAAAUACAGGAGAUUCCGAUAAAUCCUAUAAUUUCGAAUAAAUAAUGUGGGCAUAUGACUAAAUCAAACAAACCUCCUUGAGGAAUCUUGUACUGUUUCUCCCCCUCUUUUCUCAGCUUAGAUAGAAGGUAGUGGUGAUAAAAAUUCCCAGUUAUUCCAACUAAGAAACUGGCAGUUCCAGCGUAUUUCAGAUCGAUUACCGGCUCCGGCAAUUCUGCUACUAAAUGCUGAGAGUAGGUCACGGUGACUGUAUACAAAAAAUAACUAGCGGAGAAGUUGAUUACAAUAUCUAUGGGCAUGCUUCCGCUGUAGUUGUGGAUGAAUGAAACCUGAACAUAGAAAUACAACUGUUUAGUUCAAAAUAUUUAGCGACUUUUGGGUAAACCUAAAAAAAGUGUUCAUCGCUUAAAAUAAAGAAGUGAACCGUAAGUGAGAAGUACAUUAAGACUUAUAAGUGAUCAAACUGUUUGGGAAAGAAGUAGAAGUCCUGAAACAAAAACUAGCAUACUGAUCAGUUUUUUAUAAGUGUUUUUGGCUUUUUACACAAACGAGUCAGAAAAGUAGAAGCCGGCUUUUUAUCAAAAGAAGCGAGAAGCUCCGUUGCCCAAACAACCACUUAGUUUCUCAAGUUCAACUGUUUCUAGAGUAGGAAUAAUUGUUGCUGUUAAGACCACAGAACAAGAGAACUAUCUUGCAUAGCCGGCCGCAAGACUGUGUCAACUACAUAACUCAACUUUACGGAUUGCAUACCUCAAAAAGCCUUUUGAAGAAAUGGACGGUAAGAGCAGAAGUAACCAAAGUGAACCUAAGGCCCUCGUCUCGCAUAAAGGCUAAAAAGAUAACACUAGCAACGAAAGCUGGUGCAUAAACCACCAGCAUUCCCUUUCUACCAGAAAGCUCUGUUAUCUUAGAAGCUUCAGCAUUCUUCUUGCUGGUGUUAUAGAACUUGGAGUACUGCAUGCUCUUUCCUUUUACUUCCAUCAAUCCACCAUUCACUAAUAUUGCACCUGUGAUUACUGUCAUGGCGUUUAUGAACCACGAUGCUGGCGGCGGGUAGAUAAAUCUCAGCAAUGUUGACUGAACCAUUGUUCUGAGUAGAAUAUAACUGGCUAUAAUCUGUUAUUGAUCAGAAUAUGGAGAACAAGGAUACAUAUGACGAUAACAUAUUGUUAUAAUGCAGAUGUUAUAUGUUGUGUUAAUGGAAUGAUAUGGUCUAUAAGAUGCCACGAAAGCAGAUGUUUGUGGUCGUACUACAUCUGAAGAGGAUAAGUGGAGCCGUGGAGGAAAAAGAACAUCAUCACAACCGUCUUUUCUUUUUCAUUGUCUGUUUGUUCGGUUCGAAAAGCAAAUAAACUUAAAUUUGGAGAUUGUUCAAUCAUUUGAGUUAAAAAAUGUAUGGGCAACAAGCUGUGCACAAGAUUUCGUCACUGAUAUUCUAAUAUCACAGUAUUCCAAACAAUAUCGUAACUAAUUGUUUUCUGAGUAAAAUUCACCGUGGUGACAGGAGUUUUCCGAAUGUUGCAAAAAAUUGGCCAGAAUUUAAAAAUAGCAAAUAUUUGGCUGGAGUUUACCUCCACUUUUUAAAUCGGUGGCGCCGUCAAAGAGAUACUAACAAUUUUAACGGAGUCAGGAGUAAAUUAGGAUUUUAGCUAAAAAAAAAUAAUAAUGAGCACUGAGCAGUGUAGUAUACGAAAAGGUGAGGGCAUGAUCAAAAAUUUCAUAAAUGAGUCGGAUCUUCCAGGUCAUGCUUUUUAUUACCAAGAACUCAACAAAAUCAACAAAAAAGAGUCCGGAACUUUACAAACAUAAAGAAUCAAAUUUGGGGAAAGUGAAUAAUAAGGGGGAUGGAUCUAUGAAAAGAGGAUGAGAACACAGAACCCCAGUACAAGUACGAUCAGAAAUCUGAAUAUUUUCAACCUCAGUCCUCAGCACUCAAAUUAUCACUACUAGCACUGCUGCAAAUCUUGGCAAUAGCAGCAACAUCAUAUUUGUCACCUCUUUUGUCGGCGGCGGCAGCCUUCUUCUUACUUGCAUCAGACACCGUCCUCUUCUUGUUGUUCCUACUUCAACAAAAUCAAUAACAUCAAUCUAUAUAUCAUCUGCACUUAUACACAGAUAUAUCAUGUGGUAAAAAAGAGGUACCUUUAGAUCAUGGAUGAGUUUACAGAUAUUGAGUUUCUCCAGAUUUUCUGCGUCAUGCCGGUUGUUUUUUUUGACUGAAAUCCUAAUUUACCCCUAGUUUUGUUAACGCGGUUAGUGUCUAUUCGGAUGCCGCUGUUUUAAAAAGUGAAAGUAAACUUCAGCUAAAAAAUUGUUAUUUUUAAACUUCAGCCAUUUGUAACAUUCGGAAAACUCCGGCCAGCACCUUGAAAAAUAUUCCCGUUUUCUCGAAAUUCUGGGCCAUUUGAUAAUCUCUAAACCAGUUGAAAUGAUCUGAACGAGAUGAACUGAUAACUAAAUUUUUGGACAACUUAAAAUUUCUUUGAACGAGCAAGCUUAAAAAACUAAAUUGGUUCGUGAAUUAAGUUAUGCUACAGUCUUCUGUCUAUUGCACUCACUAGUGUGUCAUGCUAAUUUUUCAUUUUUUUAAUUAUAACCCAAUAAUUCAAAUAUUUAUAAUUAAACAAAAACAUUUUUGUAUAUAAAUUUUUUAUUAGAAAUAAUAAAUAGUAAAAUUAACUUACACACACACACAUAUAUUCUAUACAAUGCUGUAAAAGACGGAAGUUAGAAUUAAAUGGUGCGAGUUACCUUCUACUAAUUAAUCAGAUAAUUGGAAAUUAAUUGAAAUGAUUAAAUUGGAACAUUAUUCGGAUAUAUUACAAUAAUAAUUUAAUAUUUAAUUUAUUAACCUAUUAUAUUAGUCUUACAAAUCUAUUUUAUGAUUAAUCGAAUUUAAAAAAUUGAAUCUGCAGGAUACCUUGUAACAAUUAAUCGGGUAAUUAAUUGGUCAAAUCAAAAAUUUUUAGAUGAUGAUUAUAUAGUUGAAUUUAUUAUAAUAACAUAUCAAAAUAGUAUAAAACUAUAUUAAAUAUUAUUUUAAGGUUAUUAUAAAUUUUUAUAAAUAUUAUAUUUCUUAGACACUACGAUUGUUUAAACUCAUAUUUAAGUUAUUGAAAUUUAUCAAAUAAUUGAUAAUAAUAUUUCAGAAAUUAAGUUAUCCGGGUGUUUCAGUCAUUUAGUAUUAAUUGUGGUUUAUUAUUGAAACUGAUUCCCAAUAAUAUAUAUUUCAAAUAUAAUUUUGCAUCAUCUCCUGAACUAAUACAGUGGUGUUUGGCCCUCAUUAAAAUCCGGCUUCUGAAACACUUAUUUAUACUAUUCGGAUAAGAAGUAAACAAAUACUUAUAAAAAGUUGAGAAUAGUCAAAAAUGACGUCUUAAUUUGUUGAUAACUUUGACUUCAGUUAUUUAUUUUAAAUAAUAAACAUUUAUUUUAAAGUCACUUCAAGAGUCCAUAUUCAUCAUCAACUCAGAAGUACAUAAAUUUGGUGAUCACAAUUUCUAUGUCUAGAAAACAUACGGGAUGAGUGCCUUGACAUCUUUUGGGAAGUCUUCAAAGUUUGAGAGGUACCAUUUUCUUGUUGCCUAACUUCUCCCCAUCAAGCAAACAGCUGAACCAACCGUGAAAGAUAAUGCAUAUACAGUUUGCGAAAUACAGGAGAUUCCGACAAAUC